CGCUUCCUACGGGACGCAGCAGUGAGGAAUAUUGGUCAAUGGCCGCAGGGCUGAACCAGCCACGUCGCGUGAGGGAUGACGGUCCUAUGGAUUGUAACCCUCUUUUGCCAGGGAGCAAAGGGCGCCACGUGUGGCGUUUUGCGAGUACCUGAAGAAAAAGCAUCGGCUAACUCCGUGCCAGCAGCCGCGGUAAUACGGAGGAUGCGAGCGUUAUCCGGAUUUAUUGGGUUUAAAGGGUGCGCAGGCGGAAUGUCAAGUCAGCGGUAAAAUUUCGGGGCUCAACCCCGUCGUGCCGUUUAAACUCG
rnacentral:rRNA from 1 species